GGAUAACUUACCCUUUAGGACUGGGAUAACUCUGGGAAACUGGGGAUAAUACCGGAUAUUAGGCUAUGCCUGGAAUGGUUUGCCUUUGAAAUGUUUUUUCGCCUAAGGAUAGAUCUGCGGCUGAUUAGGUCGUUGGUGGGGUAAUGGCCCACCAAGCCGAUGAUCGGUACGGGUUGUGAGAGCAAGAGCCCGGAGAUGGAACCUGAGACAAGGUUCCAGACCCUACGGGGUGCAGCAGGCGCGAAACCUCCGCAAUGUACGAAAGUGCGACGGGGGGAUCCCAAGUGUCAUGCUUUUUUGUAUGACUUUUCAUUAGUGUAAAAAGCUUUUAGAAUAAGAGCUGGGCAAGACCGGUGCCAGCCGCCGCGGUAACACCGGCAGCUCGAGUGGUAGCUGUUUUUAUUGGGCCUAAAGCGUUCGUAGCCGGUUUGAUAAGUCUUUGGUGAAAGCUUGUAGCUUAACUAUAAGAAUUGCUGGAGAUACUAUUAGACUUGAAGUCGGGAGAGGUUAGAGGUACUACCGGGGUAGGGGUGAAAUCCUAUAAUCCUGGGAGGACCACCUGUGGCGAAGGCGUCUAACUGGAACGAUCUUGACGGUGAGUAACGAAAGCCAGGGGCGCGAACCGGAUUAGAUACCCGGGUAGUCCUGGCCGUAAACGAUGUGGACUUGGUGUUGGUAUGGCUUUGAGUUGUUCCGGUGCCGAAGGGAAGCUGUUAAGUCCACCGCCUGGGAAGUACGGUCGCAAGACUGAAACUUAA
rnacentral:rRNA from 1 species